GCACUCCAUAAUGGCUUUUACUGAGGAAAUUAAAAACUUGAGGCCUCUGGAAGGCUGAAGGAUGUCUGUAAUCAUUGUUUCACUGGAAUCUUUCAGGAAGGAAAAAGCAGAAAACAACAACAAACCAAACCACUGAAGAUCAGUGCAAGAAGACAGACCUACACAGGAAAUCUGAGAUGGCUACUGAUCCUGCCAGGCAGGCAUUCUCAGAGCGAGAAGUAUGUAUAUAGAGAGGGACACCUGCAACCCAUGGAGGAAUAACCAAGCCUGUUUUGCAGCAAUAUGCAUUUUCCCAAGUGGUCAGAUCAAGAUCACUCUGUGCAAUGCAGAAGAAAACACAUGCCAUCUGUCUGGUCCUCACUGGAGCUCCUCUUGUCUGCUGAUGACAAACAAGUCUUUGGACAGACCUCUUACAUCCCUCAGGAGCUGUCAGGUAUUUUGAGGCUCUUUGCUUCGGACAUCAGAACAACCUUCCUCAAUUUUGCUGAUGAAAACAGUGCCCUGGGAAGAGUGUCCCUUAUCAUCUGGACAUUUUUUUUUUUAAGUCUUCCUUAUUUUUUGCUUCUCCUGCUUACACUCACAUGUUUUCAUUCGUACUUCCUUCCUACCAAUCUUAGUAUUUCUUGUGAAUUUCUAUAUUGUAAGUAAGCAAAACUCCACUUUUCUGAGAUAAAAACUUUUCCCUACUUAAAACUAGUUUAAGCUUAUGAAAUCAUGUAACACAGUUUUUCAACCUAUGUGACAGAUUCUUGGAUGUCAUCACAGGUAAAUACAAACAGAAGCUACCACAGAGAUAAAGUAAGUGCACGCUAUGGUCAGUGCAUGCAUUGAAUACCAUCAUAAAAACACAGAAAUUAGCAUCCUACAAAAACAUAACUUUCCCAACAGGAAAAAGACUGAUCCAAAUGUUGCAUGAUGACUGUCCAGUAACACUCCUAUUGUUGCUUUCACCUUCCUUUCUCAGUGAUUACAUCCAUUUGUUGGGCCUUGACUUAAAUGAGAUUGGGAAAGGUCUAGGGCCAAGGUCAUGUUAUUCUACACAUUUGAAAAAUGCAUGGCACAGUGUUGCUUUGCUUUUGACAGGUUUCCCAACAAUCGCUGUAAUAAGAGGAAUAAAAUAACAUCAAUAAUAACAUCUGACAUAACAGAAUUGCAACAUAUAUAUACCAUGAUGCAUGUUUAUUGCUUCAAUUCAUUGAAGUCUGGUCAACAUGUGCUUCUGCAGAUUUUAUCUUUAAAAAUACUAAAACUUAAAUUUUGGCAACAAUAGCAAAUAAUUUUCAUAAUGUUCAUCAUUUUAUUGUUAUAUUCUAAGAAUUCUACAUAGACAUCUAAAUAUAUAUUUUAUGUAGUUCCUUAUUCUUUUAUUGAUUACUCAGGGCCAGGGGAUUGAUCAUAAACUUCCUUCAGCUUGCUAGGCGAGAGAAUUUCUCUGUGAUAAUCUGUUCAGUUUCCAUACUUUGGUACAUUUCUAUAUGUGACACUGGUUCAGAUUCUCAGUUGCAUUAUCAGUUCAUGCAUGUUAGAAACAGGUCCCAAGUCUUGUGCAAUGGGACCUAAAUGUAACAGAACCCCAAAACUUUUAUGUUAAUAUAGUGUUAGAUUUCAGUCCAUAUGAAGUCACAGUUGAGAACACUGCACUGAGAAAACAGCUUGAAAGAUUUCAUAAAUAUCCCAUGCAUGAAGGAAAUAAAUUAAGAGCUAUGCUUCCAGCCUACUGAGAGUAAAAGAAAACUAUUAAAUUAUUUUACACAAUGAAUAUUGCUUUAGCUGCACAGAUAUGUAAUCAGCAAAUACAGGAAUGGCUUCACACUGGCUCUGCUCACAUUCCAAUUUUUUUUUUUUUUAGGAAAAGCUAAAUAUGUAUUACCAUAACACAGUAGCUGUACUCUUGCAGCAUACAAUUGACUUUCAUAGAUCUUCCAAUGUUUUGUUUUGUCUGAUUCUAAAGGAUUAUUCUGUUAAUCCCUAGGUUCUUAGAUUGUCAUUCAAUCAAAAGCAAUUGAAAGUUCCGUGGUAUUUUAUUUUUCCUUCUUAAUUAAGCUCAGUAGGAUAGAAGUCACUUCUGCUGAACAUAAGUGAUCUAAGACUCUGAUGUGCAUUUGUAAAAAUACUGCAGAACCUGAGAUCACUUAAAUCAUUUGAACUUGCCAGAGCCAAGGUAUAUCCAAGUACAGGGACAAGUAGGAAAAUAAAUCACAAAAUUUAAAAGUUUCUUGAAAAACUACGUGUUGUAGGGUGGUGUAACAAAUAUUGAAAUGGAGAAAGUCAGCACAAAGGUGUCUAAAUCCCUUCCAGGUGUUUUUUGCUGCUCAGCUGGUGCAUAAGAUCUGGAAAACAUUCUGAACAAAACACCUUCCAAACCCCACCAUCUUCAGCCUGCAAGCUGUUUUCUGCUCCAAACUGGCCACACAAUUUUAUGGACAUAACUGAAAACUCAAGUAAGUCCAUGUUUCCCACCUCUAUUUGCCACUCCUGAUUACUCUGACACCUCAGAGUUCAUUUUAAAAUGUUCAGUGUUUUUUGAUCAACCACACACCUUUUACUAUCUAUGAGCAGUACUUCCGCAUGUUUGGGGGCUGUUCAUUACUUCUUUGAGACUGACAGAUUAUCAGCAACCUUGUAGCAUGCCCUGAAACACCAGCCCUCCAGAAUGAUUCACAGAUGCUGUAAAAGUUUUUGCCACUCUACAGAUUUGCUUCAGACAGCUUCAAAUGCACAUGAACUGAAAGGAAUACAUGUAAUUUAUGGGUCUUACGUAGACUAAUGGAGAAGCGUUAGGGAGAAUGUGAGUAAUUUUUCUAAUAGAAAUAUAACUAAUUCAGGAAGUAUCAAAUUAGCAUUUAGUUAAGCCAUAAUUCUUCUGGUCUAACAGAAAUCUGUUAAUUGUUAUCUCUGUCAUAUAAACGAGUGUGGGAUAAGCAUUCCAGGAACAUUUCAUACCAUUCAGAUUUUUUCUCUGAACUAAAAUGAACCAGAUAUUACAGAAAUUUUUAAAGUAUUGUUUCAAGAUUGUUUUAAAACAUUUUGUACAUUUGUUCUUCUGGGAUUAGGAAUGGGUUAAAUUCUGCAAGAUAUGAUUCUCAUGGACCAGCUAUAAAUACAUUAAUAUAGUCCUUGACCCCACAAAGAACUUGUAUGUACACUUCAUAUUUUUUAAGUUGAUUAAAUCAGAGUGAUAUCAAAAUACUUUUCUAAUAAAGCAAGUGUGACUUGUGUGAGAGCCCUGAGUUAACCUCUGACCAUUUUGUAAAAGUAAAAGGCAUCAAUUUACUUUUGUGCAUCCUCAUCAAAAAUACCUCAAGCCCUGUUUCAUUCCAUCCAGUCCUAGAAACCAAGAAAGAUAAACUCGGUUACUGGCAAGCCUUUGGCCUUAAGCUUCUCUUGAUGUUCAUCUACUUAACUAUCUAUUUAUUUAUUUGUUACAGUAAGCAUAAUUAUAUUAUGAAGUUAAGAGAAUUGAAGGCAGCUUUUUUUGAUCAAGUAGAAUAUUGUGUAUAGCGGGUCCUGGGAUUGUGAGCAAUAUUGCACUGUGUAACGUCUCUUUUCUUUAUCUUUUUUCUUUUAAUCUUUUUUAAGUUCUGAUGCUUCCUUUAUGUUGUAUUUUUGUCUUAGCAUUGUUUUUGAACAAUGUAUUUCACUGCCAGUGCUGACAAGCAAAUAUUCAGCAACUCUACAAGAAAAAGAAAAAAAAACAAAAACAAAACACAAACCCUUGCUCCUGCUGUCUUUAUCUAUUUUAAUUUAUCUUUUAAUUUAUCUAUUUCCAGUAAAAGAAGUAAAUGAUAAUUGAAGUAUGUGCAAACAGAUAAAGAUCUCCUCUGCCAUAUCCUCGUUCACAAAAUAUAUUCCAUAGCAUUUCUCCAGAACACAAUUUCAGCACUUACUCUCUUAAAGAAAAUCACAUGCUUCUUCAAGGAAAGUCAACAUUUUACCUCAGCACAGUCAAAACGUCUGGACAAUUGUACUUUAUUCAUAGCAAAGCGUGAACUAUUUAAUAGACUUCUUUAUACUCAGUACCCUGGGGCACUCUGACCCUCUGCUGAAGUCCUUGGUCUCAUCUGUUGUAAUUUCAUGUGUCACAGUUGUCUUUACCUUAUUAUGUAUAUAACGUGGUAUGCUACAAGGAAUUUGUACUAUAGGAGCUGAGCCUGAAUAUCUUUCUCCAGUUCUACAUUUUGUUCUAUGUGAAUGCAGCCAAAAUGCAGCAAGUAUAAGUGGCAAGUGGAUGUCUUAUUACUUGUCAGUGCAUCUGGACCUAUGCAGAGACCACUGUAAUAUAAGGCUUUAUUUAAGCUAGGUAAAAUUUGAACUUUUUAAACAUGUAGGAGUAUUAUGAUAUUUGAAAUUCUGUUCCUUGGUCUGCCCAAAAAAGUUUCAAAUCUUCCUUUCUGAGCUAAAUAUUACAGUGCUCUGAGCUAGUGUCUUGAUUUAUUUGGUUGGUUUGUACAGUGGAUAUCUUGAGUGUUAAAUUUCUCUGAAGAAUUACUUUCAAAACUCCAUUAAAGUGAGCAAUUCACAGACCAUUUAAGUGAGAAACAGAAAGGGACUAGGAUUCAGCAUCUGCAAACGCCUUUUCAGCUUAAGUAAGCAUUGCCGUUUGUAUUUAUUACAUGUUUCUCAGUUGUAUCA